rfam:Myotis davidii contig171588, whole genome shotgun sequence.
GGUGGUUCUCGGGUGAUGCACCUCGGAACUAAAAAGAAGAGAGACCAAUUCCAGGGUGCGUCACCUGAGAACUGCC